ensembl:lncRNA
CUUCAAGCCUUUCUGCCAGUCUAUCUCUCUGUACCCGUCUGUCUGUCUGUGUCUGUACCUGUCUGUCUCUGUCUGUAUCCGUCUGUCUGUGUCUGUACCUGUCUGUAUCUGUCUGUCUGCCUGUCUCUGUCUGUACCUGUCUGUGUCUGUACCUGUCUGUACCUGUCUGUGUCUGUACCUGUCUGUACCUGUCUGUGUCUGUACCUGUCUGUAUCUGUCUGUGUCUGUACCUGUCUGUGUCUGUACCUGUCUGUACCUGUCUGUACCUGUCUGUGUCUGUACCUGUCUGUACCUGUCUGUGUCUGUACCUGUCUGUAUCUGUCUGUACCUGUCUGUGUCUGUACCUGUCUGUAUCUGUCUGUACCUGUGUCUGUACCUGUCUGUGUCUGUGUCUGUACCUGUCUGUGUCUGUACCUGUCUGUCUGUACCUGUCUGUAUCUGUCUAUACCUGUCUGUCUGUGUCUGUACCUGUCUGUAUCUGUCUGUACCUGUCUGUGUCUGUACCUGUCUGUAUCUGUCUGUACCUGUCUGUCUGUGUCCGUCUGUGUCUGUACCUGUCUGUAUCUGUCUGUCUGUGUCUGUCUGUGUCUGUACCUGUCUGUGUCUGUACCUGUCUGUCUGUGUCUGCACCUGUCUGUAUCUGUCUGCACCUGUCUGUCUGUGUCUGUACCUGUCUGUGUCUGUGUCUGUACCUGUCUGUCUGUGUCUGUACCUGUCUGUACCUGUCUGCACCUGUCUGUAUCUGUCUGUCUGCCUGUCUCUGUCUGUACCUGUCUGUGUCUGUACCUGUCUGUACCUGUCUGUGUCUGUACCUGUCUGUAUCUGUCUGUGUCUGUACCUGUCUGUGUCUGUACCUGUCUGUACCUGUCUGUACCUGUCUGUGUCUGUACCUGUCUGUACCUGUCUGUGUCUGUACCUGUCUGUAUCUGUCUGUACCUGUCUGUGUCUGUACCUGUCUGUAUCUGUCUGUACCUGUGUCUGUACCUGUCUGUGUCUGUGUCUGUACCUGUCUGUACCUGUCUGUGUCUGUACCUGUCUGUCUGUACCUGUCUGUAUCUGUCUAUACCUGUCUGUCUGUGUCUGUACCUGUCUGUAUCUGUCUGUACCUGUCUGUGUCUGUACCUGUCUGUAUCUGUCUGUACCUGUCUGUCUGUGUCCGUCUGUGUCUGUACCUGUCUGUAUCUGUCUGUCUGUGUCUGUCUGUGUCUGUACCUGUCUGUGUCUGUACCUGUCUGUCUGUGUCUGCACCUGUCUGUAUCUGUCUGCACCUGUCUGUCUGUGUCUGUACCUGUCUGUGUCUGUGUCUGUACCUGUCUGUCUGUGUCUGUACCUGUCUGUACCUGUCUGUCUGUGUCUGUACCUGUCUGUACCUGUCUGUACCCUUCUGUCUGUGUCUGCACCUGUCUGUCUGUACCUGUCUGUCUGUGUCUGUACCUGUCUGUCUGUCUCUGUGUGUCUGUCUGUCAGUCAUCAUUAGUCAGCAGCAGUAAUCCUGUCAUCAUGUCGAGUUCUCUCAAUACUUGCAGCUCAUCAGCAGAACAAACAGUUUUAAUAUCUCAUUAA